UACGUAGGGCGCGAGCGUUGUCCGGAAUUAUUGGGCGUAAAGAGCUCGUAGGCGGCCUGUUGCGUCCGCUGUGAAAUCCCAGGGCUCAACCCUGGGCGUGCAGUGGAUACGGGCAGGCUGGAGGCAGGCAGGGGAGAACGGAAUUCCCGGUGUAGCGGUGAAAUGCGCAGAUAUCAGGAAGAACACCCGUGGCUAAGGCGGCUCUCUAGUACGGUACUGACGCUGAGACGCGAAAGCGUGGGGAGCGAACAGG
rnacentral:rRNA from 1 species